AGCUCCAAUAGCGUAUAUUAAAGUUGUUGCGGUUAAAAAGCUCGUAGUUGGACUUCGCCGGAAGGAAGACGGUCUCCCCUUUGUGGGAUGCAUCUGUUGAACCCUCUGGCUCCGGGUGUUUAAGGUGCGUCGCUUCAUUGCGAUGUCCGUAGGCACCCCUUUUACUUUGAGGAAAUUAGAGUGUUCACGGCAGGCAAUCGCCCUGAAUACGUUAGCAUGGAAUAAUAAUAUAGGACUUCGGCCCUAUUAUUGGUUUCUAGAGCUGAGGUAAUGAUUAAUAGGGAUAAUUGGGGGCAUUCGUAUUAUCACGUCAGAGGUGGAAUUCUUGGAUUGUGUUACGACGAACUACUGCGAAAGCAUUUGCCAAGGAUGUUUUCA
rnacentral:rRNA from 1 species